UGCAGGCAAUCCGCGCCGCUGAUUUGCUCCCUCCCAAGGCCGCUGAAACUCUGAUCCUGGCGGCGACAAAUGCUGCUGCGCCUUCCUCCACUUUGCCAAACCUUGGCGGAUUUUGCCGGUUUCGAAGGAGAAAAAAAUGGAAAAAUGCAAAAAUGAAAAAAAAAAAAAAAAAAAAAAAAAAAAAAAGAAACAAUCACGGGGC
rnacentral:sRNA from 1 species